GAGAGUAAAGUAAAAAGAUUUGAUUAGAAACUUGGAAAAGUGCGUUUUUAUGAAAGGGGGAAAAUAUGAAGAGAAACAAGAAAAAGAAAUCACCCUUGAAACCAUAGAGCAAACAAAAAGAAAAGAAAGAAAAAAAACAAAGAAAAGGCUCAUGGUUGUGUGGAUGUGAAAAGAAAAAGAAAAGAAAAAAGACGGGGAUCAAAGAAAUGGAAAUUGUGUAGAGUUGAAUGUUU
rnacentral:lncRNA from 1 species